rnacentral:rRNA from 1 species
GACGAACGCUGGCGGCGUGCUUAACACAUGCAAGUCGAACGGAAAGGCCCUGCUUUUGUGGGGUGCUCGAGUGGCGAACGGGUGAGUAACACGUGAGUAACCUGCCCUUGACUUUGGGAUAACUUCAGGAAACUGGGGCUAAUACCGGAUAGGAGCUCCUGCUGCAUGGUGGGGGUUGGAAAGUUUCGGCGGUUGGGGAUGGACUCGCGGCUUAUCAGCUUGUUGGUUGGGUAGUGGCUUACCAAGGCUUUGACGGGUGGCCGGCCUGAGAGGGUGACCGGCCACAUUGGGACUGAGAUACGGCACAGACUACUACGGGAGGCAGCAGUGGGGAAUAUUGCACAAUGGGCGGAAGCCUGAUGCAGCAACGCCGCGUGCGGGAUGACGGCAUUCGGGUUGUAAACCGCUUUCGCCUGUGACGAAGCGUGAGUGACGGUAAUGGGUAAAGAAGCACCGGCUAACUACGUG